rfam:Dichomitus squalens LYAD-421 SS1 unplaced genomic scaffold DICSQscaffold_26, whole genome shotgun sequence.
GGCCCAAUGGUCUAGAGGUAAGAUACUUGCUUUGGGUGACGCUCUGAAUGCAAGGGAUCCCGGGUUCGAAUCCCGGUUGGGCCC